UACGUAGGGCGCGAGCGUUGUCCGGAAUUAUUGGGCGUAAAGAGCUCGUAGGCGGCCUGUCACGUCCGCUGUGAAAUCCCGGGGCUCAACCCCGGGCCUGCAGUGGAUACGGGCUGGCUGGAGGCAGGCAGGGGAGAACGGAAUUCCUGGUGUAGCGGUGAAAUGCGCAGAUAUCAGGAGGAACACCGGUGGCGAAGGCGGUUCUCUGGGCCUGUUCUGACGCUGAGGAGCGAAAGCAUGGGGAGCGAACAGG
rnacentral:rRNA from 1 species